UACGGAGGGUGCGAGCGUUGUCCGGAAUCACUGGGCGUAAAGGGCGCGUAGGCGGCCUGAUAAGUCGGGGGUGAAAUCCUGAGGCUUAACCUCAGGGCUGCCUUCUAAACUGUCAGGCUCGAGCACAGUAGAGGCAGGUGGAAUUCCCGGUGUAGCGGUGAAAUGCGUAGAUAUCUGGAGGAAUACCGGUGGCGAAGGCGGCAUCCUGGACCGACAUUGACGCUGAUGAGCGAAAGCUAGGGGAGCAAACGGG
rnacentral:rRNA from 1 species